AACUUUUUCUGUUACGUGCAUCCUUCUCAAAGCUGCACACUCAGUCAAAAAAAUUUCCUUGAUAGAGGAGAGGACCGUUCUUUGGUCAAGAGUAUAUGUGUAGCUGCGCUCCCCUGCUAGAACCUCUCUCCUUUUUCUUGAUGAGUCUAGUCAAAGUUUUAUCAAUUUUGUUUAUCUUUAUAAUGAACCAGCACUUAGUAUUAUUGAUCUUUUGU
rnacentral:snRNA from 1 species